rnacentral:rRNA from 1 species
GACGAACGCUGGCGGCGUGCUUAACACAUGCAAGUCGAACGGAAAGGCCCUGCUUUUGUGGGUUGCUCGAGUGGCGAACGGGUGAGUAACACGUGAGUAACCUGCCCUUGACUUUGGUAUAACUUCAGGAAACUGGGGCUAAUACCGGAUAGGAGCUCCUGCUGCAUGGUGGGGGUUGGAAAGUUUCGGCGGUUGGGGAUGGACUCGCGGCUUAUCAGCUUGUUGGUGGGGUAGUGGCUUACCAAGGCUUUGACGGGUAGCCGGCCUGAGAGGGUGACCGGCGACAUUGGGACUGAGAUACGGCCCAGACUCCUACGGGAGGCAGGAGUGGGGAAUAUUGCACAAGGGGCGGAAGCCUGAUGCAGCAACGCCGCGUGCGGGAUGACGGCCUUCGGGUUGUAAACCGCUUUCGCCUGUGACGAAGCGUGAGUGAAGGUAAUGGGUAAAGAAGCACCGGCUAACUACGUG